rnacentral:rRNA from 1 species
UACGGGGGGGGCAAGCGUUGUUCGGAAUUACUGGGCGUAAAGGGCUCGUAGGCGGCCAACUAAGUCAGACGUGAAAUCCCUCGGCUUAACCGGGGAACUGCGUCUGAUACUGGAUGGCUUGAGAUUGGGAGAGGGAUGCGGAAUUCCAGGUGUAGCGGUGAAAUGCGUAGAUAUCUGGAGGAACACCGGUGGCGAAGGCGGCUACCUGGACCGGUUCUGACGCUGAUGCGCGAAAGCGUGGGUAGCAAACAGG